UACGUAGGGGGCUAGCGUUGUCCGGAUUUAUUGGGCGUAAAGAGCGUGUAGGCGGCCAGGUAGGUCUGCUGUGAAAACUCGAGGCUCAACCUCGAGACGUCGGCGGAAACCAUCUGGCUAGAGUCCGGAAGAGGAGAGUGGAAUCCCUGGUGUAGCGGUGAAAUGCGCAGAUAUCAGGGGGAACACCGAUGGCGAAGGCACCGCUCUGGCCGAAGACUGACGCUGAGGCGCGAAAGCUGGGGGAGCGAACGGG
rnacentral:rRNA from 1 species